CCUACGGGGAGCAGCAGUGAGGAAUAUUGGUCAAUGGACGAGAGUCUGAACCAGCCAAGUAGCGUGAAGGAUGACUGCCCUAUGGGUUGUAAACUUCUUUUAUAUGGGAAUAAAAUGUUCCACGUGUGGGAUUUUGUAUGUACCAUAUGAAUAAGGAUCGGCUAACUCCGUGCCAGCAGCCGCGGUAAUACGGAGGAUCCGAGCGUUAUCCGGAUUUAUUGGGUUUAAAGGGAGCGUAGGUGGAUUGUUAAGUCAGUUGUGAAAGUUUGCGGCUCAACCGUAAAAUUGCAGUUGAAACUGGCAGUCGUGAGUACAGUAGAGGUGGGCGGAAUUCGUGGUGUAGCGGUGAAAUGCUUAGAUAUCACGAAGAACUCCGAUUGCGAAGGCAGCUCACUGGACUGCAACUGACACUGAGGCGCGAAAGUGUGGGUAUCAAACAGGAUUAGAUACCCGUGUAGUC
rnacentral:rRNA from 1 species